CCCUGAUCCCCAGUGAAUAAGGUCUCCUCCUACUCAACAUCAACCCUGACCGUUGAUUGGCUUCCAAAGGGGAAUUAGGAAGUAGGAAAUGAGUGAUGAGAUUUGAGAGUCAAAGAUGGAUUAUCCAAGAAAGGAUGGGAGCCGAUGGUUUUCCAUGAUGUCUCUGUGGAUGACUUCUGAAACAACACCCGAAGUCCUGGUAAUUUUCAUGAUAUUUAGUCCACUCCAUGCUAAGAAAUUUCACAUUGGAUGUGUUGACAGUUGCGAAAACCCAACAUGUCUAAAAUCAAAUACGUUAUCUUUCUCCCAGUCUCUUCUUGAUUCACUCAUUUCUGUAAAUGAUAACACCGUCUUCCAGUUACCAAGACUUGAACAAUAAACUGCAGAAAAGUGUAAAGAUGAAGAAAAAAAUAAUUUAUAAUCCCAUAAUUUUUCUCUCAAUGCAUACUUUCUUUUAUAAGUGUGAAGUAAUCUUGUAUAUGUAAUUUUCUUCUUCUUUAAUCCUAAAUUUUCCACGAGGUCAUUAGAAAUUGUUCAUAAUUAUAAUUUUAAUGGCUAUAUAAUUUGUUAAUGCUCUCAAAACAUACUGGGAUAUAUUGUCAAAUUCAUUUCCAGAAGGUUUGGCAAUUAAUACUCCCACCAGCAUUUUAUGGGAGCACUUAAAUAUAAGAAUUUCAGAGUUUAACCCCCACUGCCUCCUAACAACAACUGAAUAUUAUCAUCCUUUAACAUUUGGUAUUUUUGUAGUUGUUAAACAGAACUUCAAUGUUACUUUAAUUUGCGGUCUUACGUUUAUUAGCUAAGUAGUCAUUGCAGUAUUGAAGUUGUGUUACGGAUUAGCUAGAAGAGAUCACCCCAAUACAUCACUAUAACGUCCCAGUCCAGCCAAGGGUGCAGAAUUUAUCAGACAAGAGAUGUCUACCCUGAGCAGAAGCAGAUACAAUGUAUCUCCAUGCAGCUUUCUCAUCAAUCCUCAUCCCCUGUGGGGGUAAUGAUUGUAGGGUUUUUCACUCUCUCGUGGAUAAUUGCAAAGUUUGUCCAGAAGUGACAAAGAAGCAAAAUUAUCAUUUCACCAUUUUCUGUUAUACUCAAGAUUACAUCACCACUGCUAAAGAAUCAUACUAACAACUUUCCUAUAAGAUUAUAUGGGCAAAUAUCGAGGUGUCCUGGCUCCUGAGCCAUGCACAUCAUUAGUAAGGCCAUAUCCUCUUGCAGAAGCCAUCACUGACCAGGUGACCUUAAACAACAUCCCUGCCUCUGGCUAGGUGGUGUUCAAGGAAAGACUGAUUGUCAAGUUUUGAAAAUUAUCUAUUUUUGCCAUUUGCCAAGAUAUCUUUUGACAUGCUUGAAGUUUCUUAUCAUUUUCAUCUUUUUCCAAAUUAAGUAUAUUAAUCUUAAAUGUUCAAAAGUUCUUGUCUUUUGUUUGAUAUUUUUGACUUACAGAUGUUCAAUUCUUUUUGUAAUAAAAUAAUUUCCCUUGCAUGUUAUUUCUUUUAU
rnacentral:lncRNA from 1 species